AUUUGGGUUCAUAGCACAGAGCAGAGUAGAUUGACACAGAGGUAGCAAUUAGCUGGUAACGAAGGGUUUCCAUCAGUCAGCUUUGCCUUUGUAGGAUAAUCAGAACAAACAAUAAAUGUUGUAGGGUUUCCAUUGAUUGAUUGCUUUCUGCUGGUCUCUUUUGGGAGGGGGGGGGUGCUUCUAUGGAUUUUGCGGCACCGGAUAUUCCAUCUGCCGAACGACAACCAGAUGAUCCUUUGUAUCGUGAACUAUGGCAUGCCUGUGCUGGACCUCUUGUCACGCUUCCUCGCGUAGGGGAGCGUGUUUAUUAUUUCCCACAAGGUCACAUGGAACAAG